CCGAGUUUACAACUCCCAAACCCCUGUGAACAUACCACUUGUUGCCUCGGCGGAUCAGCCCGCUCCCGGUUUAAAACGGGACGGCCCGCCAGAGGACCCCUAAACUCUGUUUCUAUAUGUAACUUCUGAGUUAAAACCAUAAAUAAAUCA
rnacentral:misc_RNA from 1 species